GUGGCCGUGGCAGAUCGGUAAUGCGCUUGAAUGUGGCUCAAGUAUAUAUGGGUUCGAGUCCCAUCGGUCACCCCU
rnacentral:tRNA from 1 species